GGGAUGGGCUGACUAGUGACAGAGUGAGGAAGGGGGUGACUAGGGACAGAGGGGGUGACUAGUGACAGAGUGAGGGGGUGACUAGUGACAGUCACCCCUUCCCUCUCUCUGUCACUAGUCACUCCCUCCCUCUGUCACUAGUCACUCCCUCCCUCUGUCACUAGUCACUCCCUCCCUCUGUCACCAGUCACUCCCUCCCUCUGUCACCAGUCACCUCUUCCCUCCCUCACUUUGCCACUAGUCAUCUCUUCCCUCCC